AGAAAAUAGUUUCAGUACGAGUUUUCUUUCACCAGGAGCAAUGUGCUUUUAUUUCGAGGGUUGAUGCGCGACUCAUAUAAUUUAUGAUCAAAUGAUUAGGGGGAAUUUGUCUGAGGUUUUUCUCUCAGUUUUUCAUUUUUCAAGGAGAUAUCGAUUUCUCUCCAUUCAUUUUUCUGUCAACUUAGUUUGUGGUGUUCAUAGUUUAGAUCUUUCUGGCCUUUGGGGCUUGCUAUGUCGAUUUUGUUGCUUUUCUGUUGUGUGGGAUUCAACUAAGAAUUUCACAACCUGAUUGUUGGAGUUAUAUAUUUUCCCUUGAAAUAUGUCUCUGACUUGAAUUCGGUUUCUGCUUUAUUAGAAUUUCUUUGAGCUAGGGAGAGAUUUAAAUUAUGGGACUGGAAGGUAAAGGUCAGAACAUAUGCCCUUGAGGGCUGAUCAAGUGACAAGGGUUAGGGUGGAGGGGUGGGAGGUUCCAAGUUCAAGCCCCAACAAGGACCAAAAAUAGAUAUCUUACCUGUUGAAAAAGGAUCUAGAAUGCAUGAUACAAUUGCAAAAGAGGUUUUUUUGGUUGAAAGACCAUAAAAUAGAAUAUUAUCCAUCCCUACUAUUGGUCUUUGUUAUGACUUUCACUUAUCAAUCCCAAUUUAAAUGCAAACAUUUUUGGAAGCCUGAUACUUAAGCAUAAUUCUUUUUGCUAAUGGUAUAAGGUUGGUCUCUGCUUAGGGAAUGGCUGGAUCAUUAAUGGUCCUUCUAAAGAAUAAAAUAGCAAAUUGAGAUUGUUAUGCUGUGGGUUAUUCCUUCCUUGGACAAAAACUUAUGGAUAAACAAGCUUUAAAUAGUUUGGAUAGAUAGGAUAAGGUGGUGCCUUUUGAGUUCCAUUUCAUUUUUUCUAGGUUGUUUUGGAGCUUGACUUCUGUUGAAGGUGGCCUUUGUUGCAUAAUAAAUGGCCAGUUUGAAGAAGAGUGAGCUCUUUCCUAUGAGUAAGCGCUAUAUGUGGCUUUGUUGCUUGGUUUUAAGGUGGUCGAGUUACUUUAUUUUUGGGCCUUCCCUUGGGUGACCAUUUCAAGUCUACUUUCGUGUGAGAUGGAGUGGAGGAAAGGUUUCAUAAAAGGUUGGUCUCUUAGGAAAAAAACCUUGUCUAACUGGUGAAAUCAAUUCUUAUAUAAGAGUACUUCUUCUAAUUUGCCCAUUUAUUGUAUGCCUCUAUUUGCGAUUCUUAGAAUGGUCCACCUAAUGCUCAAGAGGAUUCUUCCAAGAGAGGGAUUGUUUUAUGGCAAAACGCGUGCAUCGCGUUAAUGUGGGUGGUGUGGUGGGAAAGAAAUACAAGGAUUUUCGAGGACAAAGCAAGGAAUUCUGAGUAUCUUUGGGAUUCUAUUUGUUUUCUUACCUCUUUUUGGGCUUUUUGUUCUAAGGUUUUUAAGGGGAUUCCUCUUAACAUGUUACAACUUGAUUGGUUAGCGGCGUGUAACUAGAGUGUCUACUUUUCUCUUCUUGUACUUUCUUAUAUUUGAUUACUUGUAGUCUUGUUUUUCUUUGAUGGGAGGAUUCCUCAUCCUUCUAAUUGAUUGUACCUUCUUUUUAUCAAUAUAUUCCUUUGUCGUUUCCUAUCAAAAAAAAGAAAAAGAAAAAAAGAAUGGUCCACCUAAUGGUCAAGAGGAUUCAAAGCCACUUUAGUUCUUAAGACCGCGGCUAGAGAGGAAAUUACAUUUUGCCAAAGUGGUUGGUUGUCUACUAAGAGAAAGUUUAUGGGUGAUUUAGGUAUUAGAAACCUAUCAAUGCUGAACAAAGUACUUCUUACUAAAAGGUUAUAGAAAUUCCAGUGGAGCAAGGUUUUUUUUCAAAUGCUAGGGAGAGGAGGAAGGUUUUUGGAGUAGGUUUUUGGAAAAUGACUAGAAGGGGGUUCAAAUACUCUUCAUUGUAGAAUAACUUUAUUGAUAGAAGAUGGUCAUAUGUCAAAAUUCUGGCUUUAUGUUUGGUGUGAGGAGUUUUCAUGGAGAGUUCUCUUCUUUCUCUUUCUCUCUCGUGCGUGCUUUCUCUUUCUUGUUCUUUACAUUGAACAUUACUUUGUAUAAAGAUGCUUAAAUUGUGGAUAUUUGGGUUAGGAGGGGUUGGUAGGGUCUUCUAAGCCCUUUCUUCUAGAUGAGCUUCCAUGCUUGGGAGUUGGAGAAGGUGUGAGUUUCUUGGUGUUUAUUCGGAGCGGUUGUUAGGAUAGUUUGGUUUGGCAGUGUGACAAGAGUGGGAAGUUUUUUUUUUUGGUCAAUUCCAUCUGUGUGACCUAUAGGUGGCUUCUAGUGGUUUGUUCCACAAAAAGAAGUGUGAAAGUUCUCUCAAAAGUGGGCUUCUAUGUAAGAAGAUUUUGGCUAAUUAACUAACUUACAAGAAAGGGCUGACUUUGGUUAACGAGUGUUGCCGCUGCAUGCAUUGUGAGGGAUGAUUGACCACAUCUUGAUCCAUUUUGGGAAAGCUUGCUUCUUGUGGCAACCUUUUUUCCCUCCCUCAUUGGUAUUUCUUGGGUGCUUCCUUAGUCAAUAAAGUAGUUGUUGA
rnacentral:lncRNA from 1 species